ACACAUGCAGCGCAAUGUGUCCUUACACACGGCACGGUCCCGGCCCGGCUGCCGAGUUGCAGCCGGGUCUCACCACUGGAAGGUCCGGCUGCCGGGCGGGCGCCUGGCCGUCUUUGCAGCCAGUAAACCGUGUGUGUGAAGGGGAGCUUUCACACACAACGUUUUUUUCUCAAGCCGUGUCUGAUGCUGCGCAUGCGCACAGCAUCACACACGGCUCAAAGCCGUCCUGUGUGACAGACUCUGCCGGUUUCUCCAGGAUGGCAAAAAGCCGGACAAAGUUUGUCCGGCUUUUUGCCAUCCGGGGAAAACCGGCUAGUGUGUUACAGCCCUCACACUGCAUGACAGGCAGGAGCGCCGGCAGCACAGGGAUGGGAGGAGCGGUUAGAGCAUACUCACUGUGAGAGCAGCAGCAGGGGAAGUCCCUGCAACUCACUGCGGUGCCUCUCGUCUCCUCCCCUCCCUGGUAUCAGCAAUAAGGCCAGAAGAACAUGUGCCGGGCAGUGACUGGAGGAGCUCGGCACAUGCUGAUUAGAAGAGCCCCUGAUUGGAGGAGCUGUUACAUGCUCCUCUGACCCCUGGAUCACGGAGGAUGUCACAGCAUUGCCCCUGUCUAAAUAUGUAAGCUUGUUGACCAAGGUCUUGAUAAACUGCAACUGCCAACAGUCUUCAGUAACCACACAACCACUUAGCAAGUGGUCAUCUGAAUCCAAGAGAUUACACUUCACAACAUUGCGGAAAAUUGAUAAUAUAUUAAUAAAGUAUUAUUUUGAAAGAAA